rnacentral:rRNA from 1 species
UACGUAGGUGGCAAGCGUUGUCCGGAUUUAUUGGGCGUAAAGCGAGCGCAGGCGGUUCCUUAAGUCUGAUGUGAAAGCCCACGGCUCAACCGUGGAAGGUCAUUGGAAACUGGGGAACUUGAAUGCAGAAGAGGAGAGUGGAAUUCCAUGUGUAGCGGUGAAAUGCGUAGAUAUAUGGAGGAACACCAGUGGCGAAGGCGACUCUCUGGUCUGUAAUUGACGCUGAGGCUCGAAAGCGUGGGGAGCAAACAGGAUUAGAUA